GAGAAGCAUGAAUGAUACGGGAGCAGAAGAUGGGAGUAAGAAUAGAAGAAGGAGAUUAAGGCGACAACACUGACAAUAUCUGCCAAACUGAGAAGAGCCAGAGUUGGAUCCCCAAAAUCAUCAAGAAACGAGUGUGCAGCACCUUUGUAAAAGAUUCCUUCAGUAAUGGUGCAUUGUGUCAGUGUGGGGCUGCAAGAGAUGACCAUGCCUCUGUGGCUCUUGGAGACCAUUCCAGCACAGCGAUGUUGAAGCACUGGAAAAGUGCGGAGCACUCCUCUGAACAACCAACUGAUUUAGAGAGGUGCAAUUUGCAGGAGCCAGCAAGAGGCACAGCUAUGUGGAGAGGGCAGGACACAUGUGAAGACCUGGGUAUGGGAGGUUCUCAGGCAGGGGCUUGUGAAAGCGUCACAAAGCACAGGUCCAUGGAUCUUACCUACAGGUCUGCAAGAAGGUGUUAGCAGGUGUGUUGGACAGGCAGUGCGAGAUCAUGCAGCUGCAGCAUCUUCAGUCACCCUCAACAAGGUGGUAGCGUUGGGCAUUGCUCCCUGGUGCCUUGUGGAAAAGUGAGAGCAGCUGGUCAAACCUCAGGUAGUACAGACAUUUACACAUUUAAACAUUUUCCAAGCAUUAAAAAGAAUCAUGUUUACCUUUAUUGUGCAAAAAACUCUCUUAAAAUUUUGAUUUAUAUUUGUCUUUUUGAGUUUUUGUUUUAGUUGCUUAUAAUUAAUAUAAAAGGCUUUUAUAGGUAAAACAGUGUUUUACCUCCAUGUACUGCUUUUUUA